GACGAACGCUGGCGGCGUGCCUAAUACAUGCAAGUCGAGCGAAGUUUUUCUGGUGCUUGCACUAGAAAAACUUAGCGGCGAACGGGUGAGUAACACGUAAAGAACCUGCCUCAUAGACUGGGACAACUAUUGGAAACGAUAGCUAAUACCGGAUAACAGCAUUAACUGCAUGGUUGAUGUUUAAAAGUUGGUUUUGCUAACACUAUGAGAUGGCUUUGCGGUGCAUUAGCUAGUUGGUGGGGUAAAGGCCUACCAAGGCGACGAUGCAUAGCCGACCUGAGAGGGUGAUCGGCCACACUGGGACUGAGACACGGCCCAGACUCCUACGGGAGGCAGCAGUAGGGAAUCUUCCGCAAUGGGCGAAAGCCUGACGGAGCAACGCCGCGUGAGUGAAGAAGGAUUUCGGUUCGUAAAGCUCUGUUGUUAGGGAAGAAUGAUUGUGUAGUAACUAUACACAGUAGAGACGGUACCUAACCAGAAAGCCACGGCUAACUACGUGCCAGCAGCCGCGGUAAUACGUAGGUCCCGAGCGUUAUCCGGAUUUAUUGGGCGUAAAGCGAGCGCAGGCGGUUAGAUAAGUCUGAAGUUAAAGGCUGUGGCUUAACCAUAGUACGCUUUGGAAACUGUUUAACUUGAGUGCAGAAGGGGAGAGUGGAAUUCCAUGUGUAGCGGUGAAAUGCGUAGAUAUAUGGAGGAACACCGGUGGCGAAAGCGGCUCUCUGGUCUGUAACUGACGCUAAGGCUCGAAAGCGUGGGGAGCAAACAGG
rnacentral:rRNA from 1 species